ensembl:scaRNA
GGCCCCUUUUCUCCUCAGUCAGGGCUGGAGGCCAAGAUCAGCCUUAGAGGACUGUCAGGGCUGCCACAAGCUGGGCAGCGUGGUUUUCCUACCUCAGACAUUU